UUACAAGUACCGUUUAAUUGGCCAUUAAGAGGUCGAUUCAAUUGUUGACAUCCUAUUGGUUCACAUGUUGGCGGUUGACUUGACCAUUCACCAGUUGCUGUACAUGUAAUGGAGGACACAUUUGCCGAGCACAAACUGGCUGAUCUCCAGACCAAUAGCCAGUUGAUGAACAUACUAAUGUCGAUGCACCAACCAACGUGAAACCUGGAUUACAUGAAAACGAACACGUUGAACCAGGAAAUCCUGGAGAACAAGCGCCUUCAAUCCGUCCAUUGGUAACCCCAACUAUAUUGGGACAGAUGAUUGGUGGUGUACAGCGUGGGUUUGGCUCUGACCAUGAGCCAUUUAUAUUACAAACACUUUGAAUCAACCGACUAGUACCCGAUAAACACUGAAUAUUGCAGGUUCCCCCAGCAUAGGGCAGACAAUUGCCUAUCAGUUGUCCAUCAGCUGGGAUUAUCAGCUCAGGACAACGAAUCUGCUGAUCUAGGAAAGAAAAGAUAAAAUCAGUGAAAAAUUGUCUUUUGUUUACAUUACAUUCAACCUUUUCACAUUUGAUUAAUCACGAGAGUUAUGUCUUCAAAAAGGUUCCCAAAUAAUUGGUUAAACCAUAUUAGGCCUUAGUCCAGGAUCCAUUAUCACAACAGGUGCGAUGAGAUGAACCAAUUAGUUCAAAACCUCUUUGGCAACCAAAUAAACAUCUCUGUCCGACAGUAUUAACACAAGAUCCGGUUGGCCAUUCACCAUAUGCUGGUAACCUCAAGGGUGGACAAUUUUGACCUGUUAAUAGGAAACAAGCAGACAAGUUGUUUUAGUUUUGUGAACAUUGAAACUCACAACAAACAAUUACAAGAUUCCCAACUUACACUCAACAUAGGAUAAUAGGAAAAUCAACAAACAAAAUGCAGGAUGAGGCCAUUUGAGAUUAUCUAAGUUGGUAUACCAAUUAAUCAUGAUUAACCAUUGGACGAUGUAACCCUUCAAUCGAUAAUCAAUUGGAAAUUGAUUGUUAUAUCGACCUGUUAAUAUACAUAAGGUCAUGAUGGCUCAAAAAGUGUUGAUAAAUAUUGAUCAACAGUCAUUUUCAUUGAAAGCAAAUUGAUGGAAACAUUUUCAGUGGAAAAAUGAUGAAUCUUCUGUUGGAAGUUAAUUGAAAAAAAAGGACAACACAUUAAAGCGAGAAAAUUUGCUCACAACAAAAUGAAUGGUUAUCCAUCAAAAAACCGGAAAGUCUGAUGGAAGGACAAGAAACGGGAAACAACAAAAUGAUAUUUCAUUAUCAUCACCAUAAGUAAUAUUAAUCAUCAUUUUAAUCAACCAACAAGAGUAACUUCAACCUUAUUAUAAACCCAGGCCAAGCAUCACACAUUGAGCAAACAAGAACGAUAAUUAGUUAAUUUACUUUCAAUGUUAUUCAACAAUAACAACCAGGAAUUCCCUUUUGAGAUACAAUUCACUUGAAAAUGUCUAUUUAAUGGAGUUAAUCAUUAGGCUAAAAAUUAUGCAUCGAGCCUAAUUGUCAAGCAAUUGGCAAUCCGACAAUCAGUAAACCGGAAUGGAUUGUCAAAGGUUGAAAAUAAAGACGUCUUAUGGUCCUGGUAAAUCAAGUUUAACUUGAUGUAUUGCUUGUUAAUUGUUAAAGACGAGAAGAGUGAAAAAUCAGUCAUUAUUUACUUCUCUGGUUAUUUGCUGUUCCUCUGAUCUUUCAUCAUUUUCUGGUCAUCUUCUGAUCAUCUUUUGGUCGUUUACUGGUCGUCUUCUGGUCUUCUUGGGUUUUCUGCUGCUUUUACCUAUUUUUUAUUUUCAUGUUGAAUCAUUUAUUACAGAGAAGUUUAGAGUAAAUGAUGGAUGAAUGAAUUGAAAGAUGAUUUAUAGGGUGGUUAAUGGUACUAGAGAGGUAAAGAAGCAAAGUUUAUUGAAUAGAAUCAAUCGAUUGUUAUUAAUGAUUGUUGUUGUGAUGAUUAUUUUUGUUGCAAGUUACGGUCACCAAGGAUAUUUACAGAUCUUUCAGUGACAUACAUAUGUAUACAAUUUGUAUGUAUUAUUAACAUUUGUGUUUGAUUCACAA